rnacentral:lncRNA from 1 species
UGAGCCAAGAUACACCCUAGAUGAUCAUAACUUUGGACGCUUGUGAGAACUCUCUCUCCAAGGUGCACCAAAGGUCCACAAAUCUCUGAGCCUCCAACUUUACAUUGUCAUCAUUAUCUGAUUCCAAAAUGUAGAAAAAGGUUAUAUAUAUGUAUAACAUGUAUCAAGUCUACUAAAACAUAUCAGUACGUGGCAUCCAAAUAGCCAACAAAUAUUAAAAUGGGGUAUACAAAAUGAUAGAAAUUAGGGUUUAUUGGCGAAGGCUAAUUUCUUGUAGCUCUCCUAUGUCUUUGUAAGAAACUCUUUGUUAGUGAAUUGGAGAGAUCUAUCUCCUCCAGACAUAUGUCAAAUUUGGAUCAAACUGGCGGAGCAAAUAUCGUCAUGUUACAUACGGAUUUUAUACGAUGUUUAAAAACUUUAAAAAUCAUUUGCUACCAUAUCAAAUAUUCUUCUUCUCAAUUAGGAAUCCAUACUUCUUCUAAAUUAGGAAUCCUAACAUGCAGAUGAAGAAUUGGUAUGAUUGUUCUAAUACAAGGUUAAAGGAGCUUUAAAUGUUGAUGGGUGAGCAAGAAGCAAGGAUUGAAGUUAGGGUUUCAAGAAUUUAGAGAAGCUAUAUUAUUUAUUGAUGCUUGUUGGGGUAUGUUCUAUUUAGUGAUCCUUGUUCUUGGUAUACCCCUUUUACUACUUAAAAAACUGCAGUUCUAAAAAGUGUUGUGCAGAUCAGUGCAUGAUUUUUACUAAAUUAGUGCCUUUGAAUAUUAAUAUGGGAACAAUUGUAUUGUGUUCUUGUGUGAACUGUAUAUCUUCAAUAAAACCUACAAAAUUUUAGGAAUAAUAUAGAGACUAUGAUCUAUGCAUCUUCAUAAGUAGAUAUGAGCAAGUUUUCUAGAUACCUUAGGAUCAUAGUAAUGUGUUAGUGAACCCUUAAACAUGUAAUAAAGAUUAUGUUGACCUAUGUUGAAGUAUUAAAUCAAGUAAACCAUUAAUAUAUAUUGGGAAGUUAAGGUUAUGAUAUGUUUAAGAACUUAGGAAUUAGAUAAGAAAAUGAAUAGCCAUAAGUGGAAAAUCUUAAAUAUGCUAAUGGAAAUAGUGAGAGUGCCUUAGAAUUGAUUACUUUGGAAUAAGGAAAGUUAGAAAGAUCAACAUUGCAAUGGCUUGUAUAAAUAGUGAUUGAUGUGGUUAUUGUUGUAAUUGUCAUAUGAUCGAAUUUGAUUAAUUAGAAAUGUUUAAAAUUGAUCUUAGAAGUUAUCCUUAAUAUAAGAGGUGAGAUAAGAGUACUAUAUUGUCAUUAGCUGCUUUAUGUAUGAAUAUAUAUUACAUAUAUAAUUGGUUGAUAAUAAAUUGUGAGGGUAACAUCGGAAAGGGUUUGAUUCCUCCCGAUGGAAAAUAUACCGGAAAGGGUCUGAUUCCACCCGAUGGGCGGAGCCGGAGACCCCUGAGAACUCUCACUCUCAGAAUAUUCGGAGCUAAAAUUGACAAGAUAUUUAUAUAUUAUGUGCUAAACUUGGGUGCGAAAUCCCGGACGCACAGCUAAAAGUGCUAAGAUUGUUUGUUAAUGAUGAAAACUCUUGGACUAAUCUAAGAUCUUAGUAUGUUAGCAGUUAGACCUUUCGGGGUUUUAGUUUAAGGAACUCGCUAAGACACUAUGUCUCACCCCAUUUAGUUUAUGUUCUCGGAUAAACGCGAAGCAAGGCAAGGAUACAAUGCUUAGCUGUUGAAGAUUAGCCAAUACCCAAUCAUUUGUUUUCUAAUACCCAAUCAUCAUAAAAUUAGCUCAAAUGUUUAUCUAUUUAUAGCACAUUAAAAAUUAAGGUUUUCACUUGACCAAAAUAUAAGAUAAAAUUAAGGUUUUCAAUCAAUUCUCUUAGGGUUACGAAAUCUUAAUAGAAAAACAACAGUUAAGACUUAUUAAGGUUGUCUCUAAUCUCUUUCUUCCUCCUCCUAUGUUGUUUUUUCCUUUUCUCUCUCUAUUUGCUUUCUUUUGUUUUUUUAAUGUAAAAUGAAGAGAUAUUUUAACAAAAUAUUGAAUAUGCAAUUAUAUGACAUAUGGCAUAAUUAGUAUUGAUAUAUGAUGGUAAAUUGUGCACCUUGUAAUGAUCGAUCUAAUGGCCAUCAGAGCGAUGUUGCUGCAAAGCUUGAAGAAUUAGGGUUGAAAGCUCUUCUUCCUUAGUAAUGC